UCAGUCAAUCUACAGGACCUUCACAAUAUGGCAUGGCAAACUGAUACCCUAAGAUGCUUUAACAUUUAUGGGUGUGCCUUUGUAUGCAUGGACACAAUAUACAGUAUAAGAUAUGUGGAAUUGUUCAGAUUGGAGCUGGGUGCUGAACCUGCCAGAUCCCUGCAAGUACUUGGAUCCAUUGCUGAAUUUCUGUCACCUCCUGAAGGUUUCUCCUUAUGUCCAGUGAAAUGUCAUUCCUUGUGUGGCAGACAGUCAGGUUUCUGAAAACUGCCCUUCUCUUCUCUCUUCUCCAGUCAGCAAGUGUCUCAACUGACCAGGCAAAGAGCAAUGGGCAAAGGACAACUCUGCCCAAGCUCCUUGCAAAUGGAUAAAUCAUAGAAAGCAAUUGACUGGCUCCAGCAUGCAGCCAUACUUUAAAUCUGGCUCUGAAAUCCAGGCUCAAACAGAGGCAUCCUUUUAAGGACACUAGAAGCAUAUCCUAUUGCUGGUUGCUGGCCUUGCUUCUCUUGGGCACACCAACUAGAAGCCAAUUAACACCAUCAGCCUGACCAC